UAGUUACGGUUUGUUAUUAUUGCAUGCGACUGUAUUUAUGUUUCUUAUGUUUACAUAAUUAUUUACGUUAUUUCUGCGGGAUUUACUAAUGCUCUAUUAUUUUUUUUUGUCUUGUUUUUGUUUCUAAUUUUGUCUUUGUUUUUGUUUUUGUUAAUUUGUUUUUGUUUUUGUUUUGAUGCAGCUUUUCAUUUUAUCCUAUGCGCCGAGGGUCGAAUGGAAACAGCCUCUCUACCCUUUCGGGUAGGGGUAAGGCUCGUCUACAUAUUACCCUCCCCAGACCCCACCUGGUGGGAAUAUACUGGGUAGUUGUUGUUGUUGUUGUUGUUAU
rnacentral:lncRNA from 1 species